AUGGGCCACCUAGUCCACCCCCAAUCUGCCAGGCAGGAAAAGCACCAUCAAAGCCCUCCUAACAGAUGGCCACCCAACCUCAACAACAACAGGGUGGGCAGAGACCACAUAGGCCAUCUAGUCUACCCCCAAUCUGCCAUGCAGGAAAAGCACAAUCAAAGCCCUACAGCCUCAAUAAAUAAUAACAACAAUAGUAAUAUAAAUAAUAGGGUGGGAAGAGACCACAUGGGCCACCUAGUCCAUUCCCCAUGCAGGAAAAGCACAAAGCACAAUCAAGGCCCUCCUAACAGACAGCCACCCAGCCUCAGUAAUAAUAAUAAUAAUAAUAGUAGUAAUAAUAAUGUGAGAAAAUACCACAGGGGCCACCUAGUCCACCCCCAAUCUGCCAGGCAGGAAAAGCACCAUCAAAGCCCUCCUAACAGAUGGCCACCCAACCUCAACAACAACAGGGUGGGCAGAGACCACAUAGGCCAUCUAGUCUACCCCCAAUCUGCCAUGCAGGAAAAGCACAAUCAAAGCCCUACAGCCUCAAUAAAUAAUAACAACAAUAGUAAUAUAAAUAAUAGGGUGGGAAGAGACCACAUGGGCCACCUAGUCCAUUCCCCAUGCAGGAAAAGCACAAAGCACAAUCAAGGCCCUCCUAACAGACAGCCACCCAGCCUCAGUAAUAAUAAUAAUAAUAAUAGUAGUAAUAAUAAUGUGAGAAAAUACCACAGGGGCCACCUAGUCCACCCCCAAUCUGCCGUGCAGGAAAAGCACAAUCAAAGCCCUCCAGACAGAUGGCCACCCAGACUCAACAACAACAACAACAACAAGGUGGGAAGAGACCACCUGGGCCACCUUCAUGCAGGGAAAGCACCCGCGAAUGCCCCUUACUCCUUCUUGGCCUCCUCGGGGGGCUUGGCCUCCUCCUUUCCCUCGGCCUCGGGCUCCUUGGGGGGCUCUGUCUCCGCAGCGGCUGCCGUGGCCGUGACGGCCGGAGGCAGAGCCUCGCUCUCCUGCUCCUCCACAGUUGAGGCAGAUUCCUCUGAACUGGCAUCAGGAUCUAAGGAAGCAGGACAGAAGGAGGCGACAGGCAAAGGUUUAGCUAGUAAAGGUAAAGGUUUUCCCCUGACUUUAGGUUCAGUCGUGCCCGACUUUGGGGCUCGUCUUCGUUUCUAA
rnacentral:lncRNA from 1 species